UACGUAGGGGGCAAGCGUUGUCCGGAAUCAUUGGGCGUAAAGAGCGUGUAGGCGGCCCGAUAAGUCCGCUGUGAAAGUCCAGGGCUCAACCCUGGAAUGCCGGUGGAUACUGUCGGGCUCGAAUCCGGAAGAGGUGAGUGGAAUUCCUGGUGUAGCGGUGAAAUGCGCAGAUAUCAGGAGGAACACCAAUGGCGAAGGCGGCUCACUGGGACGGUAUUGACGCUGAGACGCGAAAGCGUGGGGAGCAAACAGG
rnacentral:rRNA from 1 species